UGCUGCCAGUAGCCGUGUUCGGGGAGUCGCGAAGGCGUCCAGUCUCCCGAACGUGCCGGUGGUUUCAUAACGAAUCUGAGCAGGAGCAAAGGGUGAACUGAGAUGCCUCAGCCCAGGAGCCCCACCAGCCCUGGAGUCUGCGGGGGUCGCGAGACGCUCUUGCGCAUCUUCACCCACCAGGGCGUGCCCUGCUGAGUUCUCCGCUAGCAAGGGCUUCUGCAGAAUGGGGCCCUGGUGGCCCCAGAGCUUUCUUUCCCUGUUUUCUUUGGCACCGACCUGUACGACUCCUUUAAACUCGAUUUCACCACUUUCCCUGUGCAGGGUUUUGCCACAGCCCCCGCGUGGCGAGACUGGCCUGGACUUCUGCAAUGCCCUGGACGUGAAGCAACCCUGGGCACACCAGUCGGGGAGAGUUAGAGCGGGAGGCAGCCUUGCCAUUGCUCAAGUGUGGCUUUCUUCCACCAAGUUCCUGCAGCCCCUCCACCCUGCUCAGCCCUGCGCCUGCGGUUUUCAGGGGUUCUGCGUCCAGGCGAUACCCACUGGGGGUUUUCAGAGGCCAGUGCAAUUUAUUUCCAGGAGGCCGGUAUCCCAAAUGCUCUUGUUCCUCUUGGUGCCCGAGGCCUGCCAGCAUCCUCACCAAUCACAGUGGUCCCAGCUGCAGGGGUGCCCGUGCCCAGCAUCGGCGGAGGGCUGUUACCUGGUGCCACUUUGAGUUUGAGUCCUGGGAAGAAAGAGUUCUUGUUACAAUAGAUGCUUUGGAUCCUGUUUAUUGAAACCCUUCACACACAUUAUGUUCCUGAGUUUUCAUGCCCUGAUGAGGCGGGUGUUGGCAUCAUCCCCUCUCUUACAGAUGAGAAAACUGAGGCAAAGGCAGGUGGAAUGCCAGCGGGGGCAGAACCACACCUGAAACUCAGGCCACCUGCCUCCAGAGCUGCACAUAGUAACCACAGGAACAGUGUAUCCGUAUGGUGGAACUUGGGACAGGUGGUUCAGCAGACUCAGUCAAGCUUAGAUCAAAAACAUUCAGGAAAAAAAGAGGUUAGGUCAUUGCUGACGUGUACUGUGUAGUUAGGCCUGAAGGAAGGGCACCUGUGCGGAACAUGUGCAUCAGACUUUUUCAUGUGAUGAUCCCCUAAAUAAUAUAGAACAAUAACUAUUGACAUAGCAUUUACAUUGUGUCUGGUAUUAUCAGGAAUCUAGAGAUGAUGCAAAGUACACCAGAGGAUGUGCCUGCCAACACCAUGCCGUUUUACUGCAGGGCCUUGAGCAGCCGCAAAUUUGGGUGUCCGUGGAAGCCUCAGAGACCAUGCCCCACUGAUACUUGGAGGGGGGGGGAUUGUGCUCACUCUGGAAACAACUCAAGUUGAUGCCACCCCGAUAAUAUCCACAGGCCUUCCCCCGGGCUGUUUUCACUUUUCCAGAUUAUCCGAACAUGGCAGCAAGCAGUAACUGUUUCCGGCCCAGUGAGCGGGCGCCAUGGCCCAGGGAGGGGACAGCAGUUGGCCUCUGUGACAACUCGGUUCUCUGAGAGCCCCUUCUAAAUCUAGACCUUCCAGACCAAAUCUAGACUCUUCGUGUAAAGGCAGAAGUGGACUCCACUUUCAUUUGUGUUGGUUUACACUUGGCUAAUCCUUGGCUUCUCUGCCCAGGUCUCCUUCCCCCGCCCAUGAUUUCAUCAUCUCAGCCUCUCCUUUUCUCUCUCCUCCAACCAGUCCCUCAGUACCAUGUCGCCUUGGCCACUUCCCACGUUCUGUGGCGGAUCAGUGUGCACAGGCUGCUGUAACAGAACACUCCAUACUGGGUGGCUUAAACAACAGAAAUGCGUUGUCUCAUGGUUCCAGAGUCCGCAAGUUCAGAAUGAAGUUUUGAUAAGACAUUGAAGAGAACCAGAUCCACUGAUUUUCAUGUUAAAAGAGUGCUGAUCAGAAGAAUAGUCAGUAGUAUAGCUUCUGGCUAUGUACCUUCCAUCUUGGGUUUCUCUUUACUGCCCACAUACUUCCAGAUGCCCUAGGACAGGUCGGCGAGGAGAGGGGAUGGUGGGCCCGAGAGCCCAGGUGCUGGAACGCUGAGAGAUGGGCGAGGGACAGUCCCGGUGACAACCCUGUGCUGGGAAGGUUAGAAAUGCACGUGCGAGACCAGAAA